AAGCCAGAUGAUGAUUAUGGGUUUAAAUUUCUCACGACGGUCGUCUGAGACACCUUAUGUCGUCCAUCUUGAUGCUAUAAUCCAAUCUCUCUGAUGGUU